UACGUAGGAUGCGAGCGUUAUCCGGAUUUAUUGGGUUUAAAGGGUGCGUAGGCGGGCUGUCAAGUCAGCGGUAAAAUUGAGAGGCUUAACCUCUUCCCGCCGUUGAAACUGGUGGUCUUGAGUGGAUGAGAAGUACGCGGAAUGCGUGGUGUAGCGGUGAAAUGCAUAGAUAUCACGCAGAACUCCGAUUGCGAAGGCAGCGUACCGGCAUCCAACUGACGCUGAGGCACGAAAGCGUGGGGAUCAAACAGG
rnacentral:rRNA from 1 species